rnacentral:lncRNA from 1 species
GGCAGCAAAUGGUGUGAAAUGAGAGGCUUUGGUUCAUGUUGGGUACCUUAUACUUUUUAGUCCUGAGUGUUUAAGAACAUUAGUAGUAAAUUAACUCAAAGACUCAUUUUGCAAUUUGAAGAAAACAGAAUAUGUUUUUUGAGAAAUAAAUCUCAAAUUUCAGAUACUUGCCUUCUGAGCAUUUGCUAUUGAUAAAAUAGUAACAUUUAAUUGCGCUGCUCACAUAUAAAGCUAUUUUGCCUCUGUUUCCCAGAGUAUCCGCACAAGGAAGACAAAUUUAUAUUGCUUUACUUUGAAAGAUAAAAUGAAGCCCUACCAUAAAUGCAGAUCAGAUAUAAAAUAUGCAACUUGAUGAUAGAUAGAUGUUUUCAUAUUACACCAGAAAUAUUUUCAUAUUUUCUGAAGCAGCUUUAUUUUUUGAAUAUCAUAGAAUGGCCUGGAUUGACAAGGACCACGAGGAUCAUGUAGCAGGGAGGUUGGAACUAGGUGAUCAUUGUGGUCCUUUUCAACACAGACUAUUUUCUGAUUCUAUUAAAGAUGAAGCCCAUGACAGAUGUAGAAGACAAAUCAUAUUCUAGUGGGACAAAAUACCGAUUCAUGUGCAUGCUAUGAAAUCAUCCUUUAUUUGAUAGAGACCGGAAUUUACUUCCAUUUAACUAAUCGCAGUGAAUAACGCAUCCUAUUUUCUUCCAGUUCAACCUUGCUUGUAUC